rnacentral:rRNA from 1 species
GUCUACAGCCAUACCAUCCUGAAAGCGUAUGAUCCCGUCAGAUCUCAAAUGCAGUCAAGGGUAGGGCUUGUUCAGUACCAGUGUGGGUGACUGACUGGGAAUAGCAAGUGCUGUAGUCC